rfam:Oryza nivara chromosome 3, whole genome shotgun sequence.
UAUAAGCGCAGUUAUGAGUUUUCGUAUCCAAUCUUGAUAGUCCGUUAUAUUUGAAAUUUUUUUAUAAUUAGUAUUUCUAUUGUUAUUAGAUGAUAAAACAUGAAUUGUACUUUAUGCGUGACUUAUAUUUUUUAUUUUUUUCAAAAAUAAAAUUCAAAUAAAACGAAUGAUUAAUAUUUGACACAUAAACUUAUGCUUGCGCUUAAA